rnacentral:rRNA from 1 species
GUCGAGAGGCUUUGGCAAUGGGGGAAACCCUGACCAAGCGACGCCGCGUGGAGGAUGAAGGCCCUUGGGUUGUAAACUCCUUUUGUCGGGGAAGAAGUGCGAUCAGGUGAACAAUCUGGUCGUUUGACGGUACCCGACGAAUAAGCUCCGGCUAACUCCGUGCCAGCAGCCGCGGUAACACGGGGGGAGCAAGCGUUGUUCGGAAUCACUGGGCGUAAAGGGCGUGUAGGCGGAUAGGUAAGUGGGAUGUGAAAUCCCUCGGCUCACCCGAGGACCUGCAUCCCAAACUGCCUGUCUUGAGUACGGGAGAGGAUGGAGGAAUUCCUGGUGUAGCGGUGAAAUGCGUAGAUAUCAGGAGGAACACCGGUGGCGAAGGCGUCCAUCUGGCCCGAUACUGACGCUGAGGCGCGAAAGCUAGGGGAGCAAACGGGAUUAGAUACCCUAGUAGUCC